rnacentral:lncRNA from 1 species
UUUUGUUGAUUUGUUGAUUUUAGUAGAAAUAAUUUCUGGGUUUUUCUCAAAAAAAUGGGUAAUGGAGUUAGAAAAUUGAAUCAUUGUUUCGCCGGAGAUGUUGGAGAAAUAUCAAAAAGACAUAAUGAUUUGAACCUUACUGAUCCACUUGAUGAAGGUUUGGGUCAUUCUUUUUGCUAUAUCCGACCCGACCCGUAUUCAAAACCCCACCUGUUUUCUGAUGAUUCAUCUUCUUCUUCAACCACCACCACUAUUUCCAGUGCCACCAGCACCACCACCACGGCGGCGUUCUGUACAAUCUCCGGCGCUUCCAUAUCGGCAAACACUUUCACACCUUUGUCAACGGCACACGUUGACUUUUCUGCUCAUGUAGAUAAAGCUUCAGCUUUUGAGAGCUCUCAGUUUUUUUCAUCUAUCCCUCUGCAGCCAAUUCCGAGAGGUGUUUUUCAUUCCGGCCCGAUCCCGGCCCGUGUAUCAAACACGGGCUUAGGUUCCGGCCCGGUAGAGAGGGGAUUCAUGUCGGGCCCGAUUGAAAGGAGCUUUAUUUCGGGCCCGAUGGAGAAUCAGUAUGAUCAUAUACAAAGGUAUAAACUGAAAUCCAAGAAAUGGGGUUUGAUUAGAAGUUUAAAGAAAGUGUUUUCAAGUUCUUUUUUUGGUUAUAAAGAAGUGAAAUUUACUGAAAAGAAUAAUAUUAAUGUUAGUGAAGUUAAAUUUAUAGAGAGUAAUAUUAAUGUUGGAAAUGUUUUGAGUAGUGAAAAUAGUUUGGGUGAUGAUGAUGAUGAAGGAAAUGAUUCAUUUAGAGGCCAAAAUGUUCAAUGGGCACAAGGUAAAGCAGGGGAAGACAGAGUACAUGUUGUGAUUUCUGAGGAACAUGGAUGGGUUUUUGUUGGGAUUUAUGAUGGAUUUAAUGGACCUGAUGCUACUGAUUUUCUGUUGAGUAAUCUUUAUUCAAAUGUGUAUAAAGAACUUAAAGGCCCAUCGCCCAAAAGAAAAAACAAAAAAUCAAACAAAAACGUUAUAGAGCUGAAUGUCAACGCCCCACCCAAAAUAAAUAAAAAAAAGUAUAUAUAUAUAUAAUUAAUUAGUGAACUGCCCACCCAAAACACAGUAUCAAUUUUUUUCUAUUUUUUAUUUUUAGCAAAAUUCAAUUAAUAUAAUAUUCCACUUUUUUUUUUGGAUUAUCAAAAGUCAAUUCUUUCUCUUUCCUCUUACAUCUUUUUCUUCUCCAUUUAAAUCCUCAUGCCAUAGCACUUCCUCUGAACUUUAAAAAAAAAAACAAAAAAAAAAUCACAUUUCUUCCUAAAAAUUCAAUCUUUAUGAAUCUUUUAUGAUCAAAAUCUUAUCUUUUUUGUUGAUUUGUUGAUUUUAGUAGAAAUAAUUUCUGGGUUUUUCUCAAAAAAAUGGGUAAUGGAGUUAGAAAAUUGAAUCAUUGUUUCGCCGGAGAUGUUGGAGAAAUAUCAAAAAGACAUAAUGAUUUGAACCUUACUGAUCCACUUGAUGAAGGUUUGGGUCAUUCUUUUUGCUAUAUCCGACCCGACCCGUAUUCAAAACCCCACCUGUUUUCUGAUGAUUCAUCUUCUUCUUCAACCACCACCACUAUUUCCAGUGCCACCAGCACCACCACCACGGCGGCGUUCUGUACAAUCUCCGGCGCUUCCAUAUCGGCAAACACUUUCACACCUUUGUCAACGGCACACGUUGACUUUUCUGCUCAUGUAGAUAAAGCUUCAGCUUUUGAGAGCUCUCAGUUUUUUUCAUCUAUCCCUCUGCAGCCAAUUCCGAGAGGUGUUUUUCAUUCCGGCCCGAUCCCGGCCCGUGUAUCAAACACGG